rnacentral:rRNA from 1 species
CAGCAGCAGCAGAUCGACUCACUUAGCCAGGAAAGGGGGUCUCAGCAGCGGCAGCAGCAAGCGGAUGAUCAUCCAGCAUUGGAUAGCACCGUCCCAUCCAUGCCGAGAAGCAGCGUUGGUUCCGCCCCGGGCGACGCACUGCUGGAUACAUACCCUGUGGAUGACAUCAUAGAGAACACUAACUGUGAGCUACACUUCAAAAUGAAGAACAUAUCCAUGAAGGUGGCGAACGCCGUUGCUUUUACAAUUACCCCCGAAGCAACCUUCCAUUGCGCCCCGAUUCCAGCGGGCUAUGCUCGUGUCUUGGUUGAUGAGGUGGCGGGCCCAUAUUCGGGGCUAGAGCUUGACAUUCCUGGAGGUGACGACGAGCAAACACUGGGAGAGGCCAUACAUCGUUUCAUCCUAUGGAAAAAGGAUUGCAUCAUC